GACGAACGCUGGCGGCGUGCUUAACACAUGCAAGUCGAACGGAAAGGCCCUGCUUUUGUGGGGUGCUCGAGUGGCGAACGGGUGAGUAACACGUGAGUAACCUGCCCUUGACUUUGGGAUAACUUCAGGAAACUGGGGCUAAUACCGGAUAGGAGCUCCUGCUGCAUGGUGGGGGUUGGAAAGUUUCGGCGGUUGGGGAUGGACUCGCGGCUUAUCAGCUUGUUGGUGGGGUAGUGGCUUACCAAGGCUUUGACGGGUAGCCGGCCUGAGAGGGUGACCGGCCACAAUGGGGAUGGAGUACGGCCCAGGCUCCUACGGGGGGCAAGAGGGGGGAAUAAUGCACCAUGGGCGGAAGCCUGAAGCAGCAACGCCGCGUGCGGGAUGACGGCCUUCGGGUUGUAAACCGCUUUCGCCUGUGACGGAGGGUGAGUGACGGUAAUGGGUAAAGAAGCACCGGCUAACUACGUG
rnacentral:rRNA from 1 species